GAUGAAGAACGUAGCGAAAUGCGAUAAGUAAUGUGAAUUGCAGAAUUCAGUGAAUCAUCGAAUCUUUGAACGCACAUUGCGCCCGCCAGUAUUCUGGCGGGCAUGCCUGUUCGAGCGUCAUUUCAACCAUCAAGCCCCCGGGCUUGUGUUGGGGACCUGCGGCUGCCGCAGGCCCUGAAAACCAGUGGCGGGCUCGCUAGUCACUCCGAGCGUAGUAGUUACAUCUCGCUCUGGGCGUGCUGCGGGUUCCGGCCGUUAAACCACCUUCAUAACCCAAGGUUGACCUCGGAUCAGGUAGGAAGACCCGCUGAACUUAAGCAUAUCAAUAAGCGGAGGA
rnacentral:misc_RNA from 1 species